rnacentral:rRNA from 1 species
GACGAACGCUGGCGGCGUGCUUAACACAUGCAAGUCGAACGGUAAGGCCCUUCGGGGUACACGAGUGGCGGACGGGUGAGUAACACGUGGGUGAUCUGCCCUGCACUUCGGGAUAAGCCUGGGAAACUGGGUCUAAUACCGGAUAGGACCACUGCCUGCAUGGGUGGUGGUGGAAAGCUUUUGCGGUGUGGGAUGGGCCCGCGGCCUAUCAGCUUGUUGGUGGGGUGAUGGCCUACCAAGGCGGCGACGGGUAGCCGGCCUGAGAGGGUGACCGGCCUCACUGGGACUGAGAUACGGCCCAGACUCCUACGGGAGGCAGCAGUGGGGAAUAUUGCACGAUGGGCGCAAGCCUGAUGCAGCGACGCCGCGUGAGGGAUGACGGCCUUCGGGUUGUAAACCUCUUUCAGCACCGACGAAGCGCAAGUGACGGUAGGUGCAGAAGAAGGACCGGCCAACUACGUGCCAGCCGCCGCCGUAA